rnacentral:lncRNA from 1 species
UCACUCCCGGUCUCAGGCUGUCAGAAACUCAUUGAUGUGAACCGUGAAUGUGAACUCUGUACGUUCUGUGAGAAUCCUGUGGCCACAGAUGUAACUGCUGAGGCUCUGGGGAAGAGUAGAAGGGCCACAUAGUCUGAAUCUGUGCUGGGAAUUACAAACAAGGGUUUACAGUGAAGCAAGCGGUCUUGAUGCUUGGCAGCGUGUGCUUGCUAUUGAGUAAGGGACAUUCUUGUUAUGACUCUUGUUAUAGACCAAGGAGAAGAAGAAAGGAAGUGCAAGUCUGUUCGGGAUGCAUUGUGGGUGACAACCUGCGUGUUCUCAACCUGAUUAUUUAAAAAAAGGAAAAAAAAGGGGUGGGAAAGGAUGUUUCUGGACUACAGAUACUGCUGUGCUUUGGUGGCUGGGGCGCAGUGAGCUACAGAAUCUGAAAGCUGUUCAAUCUUUUUACAGAUGAUGCCCAUCAACAAAUCAGAAAACCCUUGAACAAUGAGGGUUUAGAAGCCCAGGAUCAAAGCUCCCAAGACUCACUAUGUCCUACCACACAAACAUCACCUUGUUGUUCUGAAGAAAGAGCACACUAAGAAAACCAGGAAAAAGCUGCGAGAUACGUUAAACUUUUG